rnacentral:rRNA from 1 species
AAUAGAUACCCGGGUAGUCCACGCCGUAAACGAUGGAUGCUAGGUUUGCGGGGUAUCGACCCCCUGUGAGCCGUAGGUAACCCGUUAAGCAUCCCGCCUGGGGACUACGACCGCAAGGUUAAAACUCAAAGGAAUUGACGGGGGCCCGCACAAGCAGCGGAGCGUGUGGUUUAAUUCGAUGCUAAGCGAAGAACCUUACCAGGGCUUGACAUGUAAGUGGUACUGAACCGAAAGGCAAGGGACCCGCAAGGGAGCUUACACAGGUGCUGCAUGGUUGUCGUCAGCUCGUGCCGUGAGGUGUUGGGUUAAGUCCGCAACGAGCGCAACCCUUGUCGCUAGUUAAAUUCUCUAGCGAGACUGCCCCUAAAACGGGAAGGAAGGAGGGGAUGAUGUCAAAUCAUCAUGGCUCUUACGUCCUGGGCUACACACACGCUACAAUGGCCAGUACAGACGGUUGCUAAAUCGCGAGAUGGAGCCAAUCCGAACAAAGCUGGUCUCAGUUGGGUAUUGCGAGGCUGAAACCCGCCUGCAUGAACGUGGAGUU